UCAUCUACCUCAUUCUCUCCUUCUGUUUCCCCCUGUGAAACUCUUUCUGGUUCUCCUAGUGAAACCCUACCAUUGAAGUUCAUUUUUCCCGUUUCUGCUACCACCACCAUCAUUAUCAUCAACAUAUUAACCUCACAAAUCCUUUUCCUUCCAUUCUAAUUCGAAGCCCUAGAAAUAUGUCCGCAGAUUCCCCAAAACCUAAUAGCCGUCGUCUGGAAUAUUGGGUUCAAUUCGAGUUUGAAAUCGGUAGCAAGGUGGAUGAAUCGGAUUAGGUUUUGGAUAGAAAACGAAAGCCAAGAACUAGGGUUCUGUUCUGGAUCGAUUUAGAAGAAGAGAGAAAUGAGAAGGUGAUGUUGUGAUGGAAUCGUAGAUGGGUUUGUUGUGAUGUCAAGAAAUCAAGAUGAGAAGAUGACAUAGGUGAUGGAGGAGAAGAAAUUGAAGAUAGGGUUUGAAUUAAAUCAACAAGUAAUUGAGGAAUUGUGUUUAUGAUUAUGAAUUUGGUAGAAAACAGAGAAGAAUACAACCUUGAUAGCGUUGAAUUUGUAGAUCACUGGAGGUGAUUGAAGCAUGAAUAGUAGUUCUAAUGGGUUUACCCAAUUUUGAGUCCACAGUUAGGGUUACAGGGCUGUGAAGAUGAUGGAGUUGAUCUGGAAUUAAUAGGAGUGAAAAUUGGUGGUAUCCGAUGAUGAUGGUGAUGUAUGAAGCUGUUUAUGGUGCUGCUUGAUGCUGAUGGAGAAAGGGCAUAGAAGAUUACCAGUUUUCUGUGAGCAUCCUACAAACGUAAUUGGACUUAUUCUGCUCUGAUUAAUACCUUGAAUCAAGAUUGGUCCGAUACCGGCAUACGAUGGCAGGGAAGUCAUUACUCGAAUGACAACCAGUAUGGCUACAAAAAAGACGUUUUAUACAGAUUCUAAUAGAAGAGAUUUCCUACAACUGACAGCGCUAAAAUGACAAGAAGUGGAAAUACGAUGUUUUUGAUGACGAAGACAAACCUCGAGUUUCAACUCUCCGAGUUGCUGCUAAUGACCUGCAUCCAACAUAAGGGUUUGAAGAAAACAUAUCAAAAGGGAAAGGGCUCUCUUGCAGGAGGUGUCCAGGAUCUAUGGGUAAAGCUGUCAGGUAUUGCGCAUGAACAACAGGCUAAUACUGAUCUACCAAAAUCAAAACCUAAAGAGCUUGCUAAACCUGCUCGAAAAAGAGCUGCAGUUGAUGUCCCCAUGGCAGAGGCUGCAUGCUUGAUGUACUUGCAUUUUUUUGACUUACAAACCUUGUGUUGCUGAGAUAUUUAUUUCGGUUUCUUAAAGAUUUUAAUAUAUGAACUUCUCCUUACCACUCUGUGAAAUGACCUCCUUCAUUUAUUGCUUCCACUAGAAUUCUAAAACCUAAUAUGCGUGCUUUCUGGAAGAUGCCUUAUUUAUGUAUACGCAAUCGUGUUGGAACCUUCAUGAAGUAAUCCAGUUGGUGGGCAUUGUUGGAUUAUCCAAAUUACACUCCACUUCUUUUUAAACAUGGAGUGUUUUCUUUCUGGGAGUGUCAAGGAAGACAACUCCAUCUACAACGAAGAGGUAACUUUUUGUAAAAUGCUAAUAGACGCAGCAAAUGAGGUUGUUGAUAGUGUUGAUAAAGAUGAAUUUUAUUGAGGUUAUUUUCGGUGGAUUAUAAUCCUGAAGAUUACAAUGAAGAGGCAAUGAAAAAGAAGAUGGACGCAACACGAGACUGGUUGGUAGAAGCAUUAUACCAAACAUGAUUAUCAAUUUACGAGAUUGUUUCUCUCAAGGCUGAGGCAGGAAAGGGGUUAGGCUGUUAUAGCUCACGGCUCACCUGUACCUGCUACUCAUUUGAAGGUGUUGAUCGAUAACAUUCUCAUGCCAGAUGAACCAACUGUAAAGGCUAACAGGUUCACAGAGACCUUUAAAGAUGUUGGAAUCGGAGGAUACGUGGUUCAUCCAAAGAGGUCCAUCAGUUAUAAUUAAGAUGACUUCACUACUUUUUUGAAGAUAUGCUAUGGAGUUCUUCAUGGAUAUCUUAGCCAUCUUUUGCAUCACUUAUAUAAAUGUCUAGCUAACACAUGGCUUUAGUCUCUUUUUUUUUUUGGUUUCUGUUCACACUUUUUUGUAUGUAUGCUGAACACUCUAAUAUGCAUACUCUUAUUUAUUUUUUAUGUAUGUUGAACACUCUAAUAUGCAUACCCUUAUGCAUUUGUGCAUACAGAAGAGUCUUAUCCUAUUGUGCUUAAGGAAGACUAUUAUGCAGUUGCGCAUAAGAGGUUUUAACUUUACCUAGAAACAACUGAUCUUUUUGAUAUAUGUAUAUGUGAACAGAACGGUUUAUGAAUCUAAAUUUACUUUUUAUC